UUGAAUUCCGACCACAGCGUGAGUGUAAGAUCUAGAUAUAAUUUGUUUUGCGAUCGAAACAAAGUAAUUUUUGUGAUUAGAGGCUCGAUAAUAUUGUAAUUUGGCAAGUUUUUUAUUCUGAAACAACAUAAGCGUUGAAACGUAUUUCUGCAAGUUGAUACAGAAAAAGAUUCCAACGAGUCCACAGGAAGAGAUUCGGCGGACUGCAUUAUAUUCAUGUUUUCAGAGGUUAGCCUAUUAUGAUGUAACGGUUUAAAGAAAAAGCUACUUACAUUCUGUUUAUGAUAUGCUGUGAUAUACUAAUUAAAUAGUACAUGCCACGUACAACAAAAGUAUUAGAGAUGUUUUUAUGGGAACGCACUUCUUCUAUAGAAGCAGAGUCAAAGCGAUAUUCUUCUCAGUAAAAGACUGUCCUAUCUGUUACGCCAUGGUGCUACAAAGGAAGGAUUAGAUAUUAAA
rnacentral:misc_RNA from 1 species